rnacentral:rRNA from 2 species
AUGCAAGUCGAGCGAACAGAUGAGAAGCUUGCUUCUCUGAUGUUAGCGGCGGACGGGUGAGUAACACGUGGGUAACCUACCUAUAAGACUGGGAUAACUCCGGGAAACCGGGGCUAAUACCGGAUAAUAUUUUGAACCGCAUGGUUCAAUAGUGAAAGACGGUUUCGGCUGUCACUUAUAGAUGGACCCGCGCCGUAUUAGCUAGUUGGUAAGGUAACGGCUUACCAAGGCGACGAUACGUAGCCGACCUGAGAGGGUGAUCGGCCACACUGGAACUGAGACACGGUCCAGACUCCUACGGGAGGCAGCAGUAGGGAAUCUUCCGCAAUGGGCGAAAGCCUGACGGAGCAACGCCGCGUGAGUGAUGAAGGUCUUCGGAUCGUAAAACUCUGUUGUUAGGGAAGAACAAAUUUGUUAGUAACUGAACAAGUCUUGACGGUACCUAACCAGAAAGCCACGGCUAACUACGUGCCAGCAGCCGCGGUAAUACGUAGGUGGCAAGCGUUAUCCGGAAUUAUUGGGCGUAAAGCGCGCGUAGGCGGUUUCUUAAGUCUGAUGUGAAAGCCCACGGCUCAACCGUGGAGGGUCAUUGGAAACUGGGAAACUUGAGUGCAGAAGAGGAGAGUGGAAUUCCAUGUGUAGCGGUGAAAUGCGCAGAGAUAUGGAGGAACACCAGUGGCGAAGGCGGCUCUCUGGUCUGUAACUGACGCUGAUGUGCGAAAGCGUGGGGAUCAAACAGGAUUAGAUACCCUGGUAGUCCACGCCGUAAACGAUGAGUGCUAAGUGUUAGGGGGUUUCCGCCCCUUAGUGCUGCAGCUAACGCAUUAAGCACUCCGCCUGGGGAGUACGACCGCAAGGUUGAAACUCAAAGGAAUUGACGGGGACCCGCACAAGCGGUGGAGCAUGUGGUUUAAUUCGAAGCAACGCGAAGAACCUUACCAAAUCUUGACAUCCUUUGACCGCUCUAGAGAUAGAGUCUUCCCCUUCGGGGGACAAAGUGACAGGUGGUGCAUGGUUGUCGUCAGCUCGUGUCGUGAGAUGUUGGGUUAAGUCCCGCAACGAGCGCAACCCUUAAGCUUAGUUGCCAUCAUUAAGUUGGGCACUCUAGGUUGACUGCCGGUGACAAACCGGAGGAAGGUGGGGAUGACGUCAAAUCAUCAUGCCCCUUAUGAUUUGGGCUACACACGUGCUACAAUGGAUAAUACAAAGGGCAGCGAAUCCGCGAGGCCAAGCAAAUCCCAUAAAAUUAUUCUCAGUUCGGAUUGUAGUCUGCAACUCGACUACAUGAAGCUGGAAUCGCUAGUAAUCGUAGAUCAGCAUGCUACGGUGAAUACGUUCCCGGGUCUUGUACACACCGCCCGUCACACCACGAGAGUUUGUAACACCCGAAGCCGGUGGAGUAACCU